GCUGUGUGUCUGCCAGAUAAAAACUGCUGCUGACAUUUUGAUUUGGAUGCUACUUGACCCGCUGGAAAAGACAGAAGCCACUCCUACGCUGCAGAUGAAUCCAAAAAGUGCACCAUCACUGCACUCAGAGGCAAACCUGCGGAUGUUAGGUUCAUUUCUUGAAGUCUUACGGAUUCGGCAGAGCUUCUGCCUGGUUUAUUAUUCAGCAGAGUGGAAAGAUUCGAAGAGGGUGAAGAGUCGAUUUAAGGAUGCUGACCCUGUAAGUCGACAACCUCACAUAUCUGAAACACUAUGACCAGCGUCAACUCUCCAGCCUGUCUGCUCGCCCGCAACCACUUCUACAGAGGUUUCUCCUCGAGUUCAGAACCGAUGAAGCCCACAUUCAGUUGUCAGGGCGACUCUGCUGAGCACAAGCAGAAACAAGUCACCGUUUGGAUCACCAUGGCAACACCUCCUGGAUUAUCAGGCAUCAUGGGAACCAAAGGACUAGAGGUGGACAUUGUUCUGGGCUCCUCCUCCUCUUCUCAGGUCUCUACCUCCAAACCAACCAACCCUGCAGACCGGCGUGUCAAGUAGACGAAACAAGCGCACCACGUUGGUUCAUUGACUGAAAGGAAGUUAUGAAAUCAAGACAACUUGACUUUCCAUUCCUCUGCUCUCUGGGCUGCUCAGGAUUUUAAAGCCAGCUUGAAGUGAACAAGCACUGAUAAAGCAGACAAAUGCUGAAAUACAAAGACACUGUAAUAUGAUUGUGGUAAAAGUACUGGAUGUUUAACAUCAAAGCUUGUUGAUGCUGUGAAGACUUUUGACUGCACUGUGAAAUUUGAAGCCGCCUCAUGUAGAAUCGAAGUUGCCAAAAACAAUCAAAAAAGUAGUAUUUUAGUGAAGAAGUGUAAUAUUUUCUGCUCUUUCAUGAAGUAGAAGUAAAAUUGUAACAUAGAAACUGGUCCAAAAAUGAAACCUUAGCGAAAUGAUUAUUUUAGUAGGCCAAUAGUGUAAAAAUAUAGGAAUUUAUUUUUGUAAGAUUGUUUUGUUCCUGGUGUCUGUUAUGUGUAGUGGGGGGUCAUUAGGAUGACAGUCCAAUUCUAGGGUGUGUUGAAACCUUUGCAUCUCAAAUCAUCUCCUUUUUCUAUCUAAUCUUGACUUUAUAGUAAGAGGUGCAAUCUAGAAGUUUAGAGAUGACACCAUCCCCUUUCAAACAGUGUACCUUUGCUGCUUGUGCAAAGGUACACUGCUCCAAGCUCUCCAGCCACACUUCAUAUUCCUUGCAAGUCCUGUUCUGACCACUUGCAGGUGCACAUCUGUUGUUUUACCAUGGAGCUCAAUCUUGCACAGAGCAAACAUCAGAUUCUGUGUCAAACUGAUCUAAUGUUCAUGCGGAGGACCAUCACUGGUGAGGAAAAGUGGGUCUGCAGCUAUGACCCAGAGACCAAACAGCUGUUUUCAGUCUCCAACACUGAAGAAGGUGCAUCAGGUCAGGAGCUCAGCUGGAGCAUACUUGUUAUUUUUUCAACAGUAAUGCAGUUGUGCACAGUGAAUUCAUUCCCCAGGGUCAGAAAGUCAAAGCUGAGGUUCACCAUAACAUCCUGAGGUGCAACUUAUCCAUCCAUCCAUCCAUCCAUCCAUCCAUCCAUCCAUCCAUCCAUCCAUCCAUCUUCUUCUGCUUAUCCUGGGCAGCAGAUGAAGCAGGUCAUUCCAGACAUCCCUCCCUCCAGCAACACUUUCCAGCUCUUCCUGGGGGAUCCCGAGACGUUCACGCGUGAACAAGAUCCCAAGAUACUUGAACUCCUUUGCUUGAGGAAGUGAGGGAGUUUUGCUUCCUCUUCCCUAAAGUGAUAUUCAAGUUGAAUAUUGACAGUAUAAGAUGGUGCUGGAUGAGUUACAGGAUUGCGAGAGUCCAUUCAGUUGUGACAGUAACACUGGGUGAUGUGUGUCACUGCACAAAUAGGCUAAUUAGAAGGGACUGACUGCCAAAUUUAAAUGUGGCACAAUUUUUUAGGCAUAGACUUUGAACUUUUGUAGCUGAUCCCAGAUGACUUCGGGUGAAGGCAGGGGACACCCUGGAAAGGCCGCCAGUCUAUCACAGGGCUACACAUAGAGACAACCAAGCACACUCACAUUCACACCUACGGACAAUUUAGAAUUAAUAAUUAACCUCAGCAUGUUUUUGGACUGUGGGAGGAAGCCAGAGAACCUGGAGAAAACCAUGUAGAAAGAUCCCAGGCCCGGGCCGGGAUGCUGUGAGGCAACGGUGCUAACCACCAAGCCACUGUGCAGCCAAAUCAAAUUCAAUUGAAUUUAAUUGAAAUAUGUUAAAGAUAUGUAUGAAGAAAUUAGGACUAUAUUUUUGAAGGUGAAACUAAAGUUUUUUACCAGGUUAACAUGGUCAUGUGGUGUUCUUUAAAGCAUAGACGACACAUGAGCAGAAUAAGCAGCCAACACCAGGACUGAGCAUUUCCACCUUGAAACUUCAGUGUACCGAUGACAGUCUUACACCCACAGAUUAAGACUUGUGCAGGUUCAUAUGUAACAAGCCUAAAGAACUAAUUCUUUCAGGCAACAAGGUGGAGCUUUUUGUGUUCAUAUUCUUUCCAGUUUGAGUAAGUAUGGCUGAAUUACUCAAAACACAUUUUUAAAAAACUAGAAUAUGUAAUUUUUGACACAGAAAUGAUUUUUGAUGUUUUAGGAGUUUCAUCAACGAGAAACUGUAACUGUUCACUGUAGUCAACAUCAUGCAACAAUGGCUAUAUUCUGUGUCAAUUUAGUGAGAAAAAAAGCUCAUAUUUUUUUAUAAUUAUUAUCUAGCAACAUAAAAAACUGUAAAGUAUUGUGCACAAUCAAUAAAUGCAAGUAAUGAAUUAGGGAGGUUUCAUUGUGAUUUCUAUUUGUUAAAUUCUUCACCUGGAUAUACUGAUUUCCAAUAAAAAAAAAAAAAAAAUGUGUUUUCCAAAAUUAUUUUUCCUUAUAUAGUCAGCUGGAAAUCUUCACUUCAGCACCACUUACACACCAAAUCUUGCAGUUUGUUACUAUCAACAUUUUGAAGGUUUUCGCAUUUCACUCCUAAAAAUCCUGGCAAAAGUUGUUUCUUUUCUGGUAGUUGACACUUGUUUUAGUCACAAGUUCAAACACCACCUCAGCUGAAAUCAUCACUCCUAAAUCUGCACUGUAAUCCUGCUGGACACACCAGGGAAGUUACAUAACUGCCUUUGUGCCUGUAAAGCUUUUCUCCUUCCAACCCACUGCACCCAGAGCAUAGAGAGAACCACUGUCAGUUACCUACCUGUCCCUGUC
ensembl:lncRNA